UAUAAUAUAAAUUAUUAUAAUUUGAAGGAAGUCGGAGGCAAAGCACUGGCCUGUAAAAGUUGUCCAGAUAGACUGUGAAGCGUGAAUGAGGUUGCUUAACAAACUAAAGUCCAAUAACUGCACGGAACGCCAGCCGUAGACGGGGGCAGGUAUAAGUGUGAAAGAACGUGUG
rfam:Lachnospiraceae bacterium 3-1 genomic scaffold acPFp-supercont1.3, whole genome shotgun sequence.